UAGUAGUAGUUAUGUUCUUGAAAAUUAAAAAAGUUGGCGGUAUUUUAGUCUAUUUAGAGGAACCUGUCCUGUAAUCGAUAAUCCACGAUUUGAUUUACUUAUUGUUUAAGUUUGCAUAUCGCCGUAGAUUGAAUAUUUUUAAAGAAUUAGUAAUAUUCAAUAAGUUUAUAAGAAAAAAAUUCAGGUCAAGAUGUAGCGUAUAAAUAAGAAGAGAUGGGUUACAAUAAAUAUAUUUAUGAUGAAUUAAUAAAUUUAAUUUUAUAAUGAAGGUGGAUUUAAAGGUAAU
rnacentral:rRNA from 1 species